CAAGCUCGACCCCAACGACGACGGUAGCGGUCUCGAAGAAGAUGGUUAGUUUACCUCACUGUAAUUUGUUUUGAAGAAGAAGACGGUUGGAUGAAGCUACUGCCUAACGUCCUCGACAGGCCUCUCAGCAAAGAAAAACAAGAGGUCAGUUUGAGUGCAUUUGCGUUCUUGUUUUCAGAGCUUGUGCAAUACAGCCAAACACAGGUUGACAACAUUGCCUAGCUAGAACCAAGGUGAUUCACAUUCUUGGUAUUUCGAUUCAUUUGUUUUGUGCUCAUGUACAUUCAGAAUUAGUUAGUUUAGGGGUUCUAUUAGAUUGAAGAAUGAAGUGCUAGUUCACUUUGCUCAUGUACAUUGCCUAGCUAGAAUCUGGUGCUUCUGAUUCUUCAAGUGAUGACAAGGAUGAGAGAGUGAAGAGAAGUCAUUUGAAGUACCACAGGCACCAUAGGAGGGCAGAUUCUGAUCUUUCUGAUUCUAGUGAUGAUGAUCAGAGAAGAAUCAGAAGAAGUCAUGCAAAGCACCCUAAACACCACCGGCAGUUGAAAUCUGUUUCUUCUGAUUCUUCUAGUUAUGAGGAUGGUGAGAUUAGAAGGAAAAGUCGUGCAAAGCACCAUAAAUGUCAUAGGCGACCAAAUAGUGUUGAUUCAAGGUCAUCGGAGUCAGAUUCGUAUAUGCGUGACAAAAGAAGCAGAUCUUUAGGGAAGUCAUCAGAUGACAACCAUGAUGAGGCAGGUAAACAUUUGAAGGACAAGAAAAACAUUUGAAGGACAAGAAAAAUGGCCACCACCAUCAUCAUAGACAUGGUCACAAUCAUUACUCAGGAGAGGAGAAAGAUCACCAUCAUCGGGAUUCAGUUAAGCCCCAUGGAAAGCACAUCAAAGACCACAGUAGAAAUGGAACUGAUGACAUUAAUGAUGGUAAUGUGUAGUAUGAUCUUAUAGGACGCAGAGUUCAUUCCCUGGUUUGGUCUUGUUUACAUUGAUUCUUAACUGUUGGGAGGGAUGUUCUCUUUCCUGCAUUUGUACCUUAAACUUCUAUUGAAUUAAGAGGCUUGGCCUUUUUUAACAUUCCCAAUUAUGAAUUGAUAUCUGAAAAUUCUCCUUUGUGAAAUUGUUUUGUGAUCAGUUUAGAGAAAAGAAAAAGUACAAAAAGAAAGGAGGUUCUCAGCA